UGCUCUCGCGUCGGGCGCCGCGUGUGGAGAACGCGGCCGGAUGGGCGCGGGGAGCCGGGAUCCCCGCUGUGUGAAAUCAGUGCGCGGACAUAGCGGGCGCUGCGGCUGCCUCGGCAGAGCCCAGCAGCACCCCGGCCAUAGGAACUAAAAAGGGCAGGUGUAGAGGGAUAUAAGGAAAGCGUUUGUUGCACUAAGAGCGGUGAGGCUGUGGCGCAGGUCAUACAGAGCCGAGCCCCGUCCCUGCGCGCAGCCCAGCUGAGGGGACGCGAGCCCUGGUGGAGCUGUGCUCCCUGCUCAGUGCGGGGGGACGCGAGGGUUCGUUUCCCUUCCAGCUCACAGCAUUGAAAGAUCAGAACACAGCAGGAAAGCCCGUGGUGACCUCGGUGUGGCCCAAUUGAGGCUGUGGGGAGGCAGGAGUGGGGCAGCUCGGGGAGGAGCCAGAAACGAGCCUGCCCAGGUGGCACAGCUGGGGAAAGAAGCGCCGCGGUGAAUUUAUGUCAUCAGCCACGUCCAAAUAGUAACUCACCACAUAGAGUCGCACAUGGCUGCGGAAGAGACGAGGGAACGCUUUAGGAGCUGCCUAUAAAUCAGCAUGGCCAGAGGGAAGUUAAUUGAGAUCAGACAGGGCCAGAACUGUAGCUGUCACCAACUGAGGUCACAGAUGGAAUUGGCUGAAGAUGGCGAGGCACCAGGGAGCAGUCAUAGACUCCUCAGCCCACAUUUACCCGUACACAAUGCUCUGGCUUACAAGACAUGUCCAUGCUACACAACAGCAUAGACUGGAGACUCCAAAACAGGGGACUCACAGCUGCAAACCCACAGUGCCACCGUUACUAUGUUGCUUCAGGUUCACCUAGCCCUGAAGUGCCUGCUACAGGAACAGCACCUAUGCAAAACCAACCCGACUGUCAACACUGACACCAUGGGGGAUCACUGCACUACCCAAAUACAGGCAAUCAACUUGUCCAAUUAAUUCCCCAAAGGUUUGUUUUGAAGUCAACAGAGAGAGGAAGGCUCUGCUAGCAGACAUGUCAAAGCACAAAGGCUGUUUGCAUACAGCUUUGUUGCCGAGGCCCUGUGAGCAUUUCACAAAUCCUCCAUGCACUGCUGAGACGAAAGGCACCAUACACAGAACAAACAAGAUGCAGAGAUGGUAACGUGCUUGCAGGCACUGACAGUAUUAGGCGUGAUCAAAAGCCACAUCAUGUUCAGAAUACACGAAAAAACAAGUCCAUCCAGCAUCAACUCUGCCAGACUGUAAGAGCACAGCCUUACUGCUGGGCUCUCCUAUUCCCUACCUACAAACACUGCAGGAAGAAUGGAGCAAAAGAGGCAAAUAAACAAUAUGGAUUUUGCAAAGGUGCUGCAGGAAAGGAGGUGAUGGACAACCAGCUCGAGGCUAUACCAGUACCUGCAGGAAGAUGCCUGCUAGAUCAUCUUCUGGGCCCAGAACCCGAACCUGGCUUAAGGCCCGGAUUCGGCUCUGGCCUUGAUUGCUCUCAGGGCUAGAUUUUGACUUUGCAGUCUCAGCACUGUCUGUAGUAAGAAUAAAAAAAAAAAGAAAGGAAAAUAUUGUUAUGAUAAGUAGCAUCUGGAGCCCCAGUACUGAAUCAUCUUCAGCUUCCCUGUCUCUAGGUACUGAGAAAUCCAGUAGCUUUUCCCUCAAGGCAAAGCAAUACCUGCUUUUCCAUACUACUUGGAACAAAAAACUAUAGAGGACUCCAAUAAUGCUGGAAUUCCUCCCUCGAGCAGCAAAGACAUUUGAAAGACAACUUGGAUAUUCUGAAGUUUAAGCUAUCCUGGACAGUACCUCGGCGGGCUGGUAAGGAGGCUGUGAGCAGGGAGUGGAAAGUCUGGCCUCCUGUCGCUCCUCUUUCAUGCUGAACCUCCACAAGGUGAGCCAUGUAGUCUGAAAAAAGGACAAGAUAUGAAUACGUUACUUCUCCCUCUUCAGUAAAGCAGUACAGAAUUGGUGGCUGCUUGUGUAGCUACCACAGAGGAGACAUUCUGCUGUUCAUUUGGACUUCGUAAACAUGAUGCAAAUGAGGCCUGUUUCUUUUACAGUUGAGCCUCCAGACUAUUUGUACUUUGUACAAUCCAGUUCAGAAAAACCCUUCUCUUCUUCGGGAAAUACAGUCAAGGGCCAUCUGGACAAGAACUAGGGUGGUCUCGACAGAGGCAACGAGCCACCAAAGCAGCUGCCACAGAGUCCAGUGAACUAGUUUGGGUUUUACACAAGGAAGUCACGGGAUGUACUCACAAUGACUGUUUAAGACAAAGGAAAAUGCCUAGUUAACCUCAGCAAAGCUCUUACUCUUGUCCAUAAUGUUCUGCUCCAGUGUCUGUGGGUCAUGAGAUACUGCUUGAUCCAGGUACUGCAGAAGUUUGCUCAUGCUGGAAACUGGGAUUCCAAAGGACUGAACAAAGAGAAGCAGCUGCUGUGGCUCCAGGUCCUGCAGGGCUGAAAUACAAAAGCACUGAGUUCCCAGAUCACCAAAUUGCUUACAAAGGGUCAUCUUUAUUACCUGGUAUUGUACUUUUGGCUGGACCAAGCAACACAUUAAUGACAGGACUGCAGAGAGCCUAAAGCCAGAAGUCUGACUGCUGCCUACGCUGCUCUGCAAAUCACUGCCUUCUUACGGCAUCUUUCAGUUAAUUCACUCACUGACUAAUUUGAUCUCCUGUUUAAUUUGAUCAAAACCUCAGGAACUCAAUCAUCCAUAUUAAAAAAAUAACUUCCACCCUCUCUGUUAAUGGCUGCAGGCAGGAGUUAUUGAAUAAUUCAAUCACUGGCUAUAGAGAGCUGUCAUUUAAUUAGCAAGAAAGGGACAAAGCUCUGAACACCAGGAAGAAAAGACAGCACUGAUAAGCUGUGCAAGGACAGAAGUAACUGCAGAUACAGCCUGCAUUCUUCAGACAACUGCUCUCCACAUUGCAAGCACACCACAUCCUAUAGAAGCAAAGCUGCGCCUGGUGUCUGGUGAUUGCGUACUUUAAUUUGAGCUGAAUUGUUAUAGUGUAGAUAGUAUCCAAAUAACAGUCACCUGUUUCCUUCAAAGCACACAGAAAACACAGAAGCUGUACAAGCUCUCCCCUGCUUUAGAAGUAAUAGUCACCGUCACUCAGCUGCACACAAAAGCAGCUCACUGCAAGGUCUGCUCUGACAAAAGCACCCACGUAGUUGGACGCACAGAAGAACCGAGCAGAGCAGACAACCUUCCCUACAGGAGGGUCUGAAACACCAGCAAACAUCCCACAGGCUCACCUGCAUCCACGAGCCGCGGGACCUCAGAGCGGAUCAUGCGCAGCUUUAGCCAGUCGGGGAGCAGCAAGGCCUCCUCUGAGGUGUCAACCAGAAAAGCAGUAGGAAGGGGCUUUUUCUCCGGGAACCAUAUAUCCAAUAAUGUGUAAAAAUCACCAUCCCCUGCUUAAAAGCAGACACAAAAAUCUUUGUUAUGAACAUAAGGACCUAGAAUAUUCUAUCCUUCUCUGUACAAAUCAAUCCACCAAAACCCUUUCUUGCUCAAAGGCUAGAGACAACUUAGGAAUAAACACUAUCAAAUGGAAAUGUGA